GACGAACGCUGACGGCGUGCUUAACACAUGCAAGUCGAAGGGAGUGGCGAACGGGUGAGUAACACGUGAGUAACCUGCCCUUUUCUUUGGGAUAAGCCUGGGAAACUGGGUCUAAUACUGGAUGGAUUGGGAUGGGCUCGCGGCUUAGCAGCUUGUUGGUGGGGUGAUGGCUUACCAAGGCUUUGACGGGUAGCCGGCCUGAGAGGGUGGUCGGUCACAUUGGUACCGAUAUACUGCCCAGACUCCAACGGGAGGCAGCAGUGGGGAAGAGUGCACAAUGGGCUCAAGCCUGAUGCAGCCAUGCCGCGUGUAUGAAGAAGGCCUUCGGGUUGUAAAGUACUGUCAGCGGGGAUGCGUUACCCGCAGAAGAAGCACCGGCUAACUCCGUGCCAGCAGCCGCGGUAAUUC
rnacentral:rRNA from 1 species